GCCGAACAAUUACGACAAAAUGGAAUAACAAAUUCAAGAUGAUGAGGCAAAUUAUCUAUGAUUUUCGACUUCUAGCUAGACAGCAUUACUAUAAAUGGAUGAAUGACUUUGGAUGUAAAUUUAUAUUCAACAACCACAUUAAGGUGUAUUGACAUAUCUUUUGGAAAAUGCAGAUUAAACCCUGAACUAAGCAUGACUUAUCCAUGUUAAAGCCCUGUGAGUGAUCUGAUCAACCAUGUGCAGACCGUCCUGAACCAAAUUCAAAGACACCUAACAUGGGAAUAAGUUUUGAAUUCUUAAUACAUACCAAGAACAAGUCAAUAUAUUCAAGCUGCAGGUCUCUCAAAGUCCUAUCCAAUGCCUCUAGUACAUCUUCCGGUGCAUGAUCCGUACACCUGCAGACCAUCUUGCUCGUAAGUAUAUAUAUACAAUUACAACCCGUAGGAGGGCUUAGGAUUUAGAUCAUGAAUAAUAACUACCACUUGGUCAAUAUUUCAAUUAAUUAUCAUGAAACUUAUAACGAACCAGAGCUUGGAGGUAAUCCACAAUUCCUCGCGCUUCACCACACCAUCUUCAAACAGCUUCCUCAAAACCAAACCAAUCUACAAGAAACACAAAAUUUUAACCACCAAACCGUCUUCAAAGAAUGAAGCAAAUCACAGGUAAUUUAAACUCCCAACUCAAAAUAAAAACACAAAACAUAGAAACCGGUAUCGGAAUAAGGCAGUCAAUUAGCUUAGAACAUGCUACACAUAUGAGCCAACUGAAGUAAUUUCAGAAAUACAUGAAGAAGAAGUGACAAUAACAGAUCAAAUGAUAGUAAAUGUUUAGAUCUGAACAAAAGCAACUAGAGUUACCUCUUUCUCAUUGCCAUAGACUUGAGCACAAUCAAUAUGCCUAUAUCCUGCCUGCAGUCAGAAACAUCACCACUUCACUAAAGUGCUAAGAUUUACAGAACCAAACAGCAGAAGCGACAAGAAAGGCUUGAUCUUUGUUGUAGUUAAGUAAAAGCAUGUAAACUAAGUGAAGUUGAGUUAAGAGGGAAAGAGGAAGAAGACCUUGAUGGCGGUGGCGACGGCUUCACCGACCAAGCCGGGGCUGGACUGCCAGGUCCCUAAGCCCAAAGACGGCAUCUUGGCUCCGGUGUUCAACUCAAAGAAGCGAAUGUCGUUCGCCAUUUUCAAGUUUCAGAGAGCUGGAAGGAGAAGGAAGUCUGAGAGAGUGAUCAAGUUGGAGUUGAAUUUAGAGAGGAGAGUAAAACGUGGUCAGGGGAAAUGUUCUAGGACAGUGUAGGCGCGAUUAUUGAAGACAAAGUGACAGUUCUGAGUGGCUAACAGGGUGACACCUGUAGCCUAACAGUUGCUUUUUCACCGAAAUUGGAAAAAAGGAACCCGGAUCCUCGUUCUCAUAUUUCCUCGUGAGAGGAUCUCAGCCUUUUAUUUUGAACCAAUGGCUGAGAUUUUCCUAGUUAAUUUUAACCCCUUAUUACCCAACUUACUCGCUUACUCUUCCUCUUCUCCUCAAAAUAUCGGGUUGCUCUCUCUCUCUCUCUGCCGUCGUCGCCCCACAACACUCUCUAAGCUCCCACUAAUCAAACUGUCAUAAAUACUAGACCAUUUCGGAUAAUUAAGCUUAAGAACAACACUAGGCUCGAAGUUACAUGCAUUAUACAUGGACCUACUCUUCCCCAUCAUACACAGCUUCUUAUCCAAUUCCGAAUAAUACCCAUCAAGCCUGAAUCUCACCACACCCCGCGUGACCGGAAUCCUCGAUCCCCGAAAGUUCACCAGCGUCGCCGGCAGAGGGAGGCUCGCGAGCGACGACGGAAGAGAGAGGGAGAUCACGAGCGACGACGGCGGAGGGAGGCCGAGCUCGCGACGGCGGAUUCGAGAGAGAGGGCGGGUGCGGGGCGACGACGGCAGAGAGAGAGAGAGCAGCCCGAUAUUUUGAGGAGAAGAGGGAGAGUAAGCGAGUAAGUUGGGUAAUAUGGGGUUAAAAUUAACUAGGAAGAUCUCAGCCAUUGAUUCAAAAUAAAAGGCUGAGAUCCUCUCAUGAGGAAAUAUGAGGACCAACUCAUGAGGAGAGGAUCCGGGUUCAGAAAAAAGAGGGAGAAGGAGGAGGAAUCAAAUUUGCCUUUUUGUUCUUGCCAUGACUAUCCAAUCAAAACCUGCCAAAAAAAGAGAGUUGACCAUAGUUAUAUUAUCACCCAUGGCAAUUUUUGAUUAGAUGGUCACAGUAUGAUUAAAAAUUUGCUAGUUGACAAAUUUAAUUUCGAAGAAAGAAGAAUAUAUUUUGUUGUCGGAAUCAAAGUUUAAAUGGAUAUUUCAAUCAUGGACUUAUCCUAUUAGAUUUAAGUCAUUUAACUGAUGUCUGAUGCUGUGGUAAAAUAUGGUGGAACUAUAAAAUCAUAAUUAAAAAAUUGAUCAAACUGCUUAGUAUGGAGCUUUGUCAAGAGUUCGAAAUUUUGAAUCCCAACUAAUGAGAGUUUGUGAUCAGCAGGUAUUAAGAGACUCCGGAUUCAUGCGCUUGCGGUAGGAGAUAUGUUUUGACUUUGCUGGAAUACUCAUGUGGAUCUCAGUCCGAUUGUUGACUGAGUUGGUGUGUUACUAACUUGCUAAUGUAUACCUUACUCCUAAUAAAAAGAAAUAUGCUUAGAUGUUAAUAAAAAAGAAUAGCUUUUAUUUGUACGAUAGUCUGACACAUUCCUUUUAUAAAUAGGUUUGGUUUAAAUCUGUGACUUCCAGCUACUCGGCAUCUACGCUCCGAUUUACAGUGGUCAGUUCCCAUAACUAUGCAAAGUGUAGAUAUGAGAAAAAGGUCCAGAUUAAGGGGAUUGAACAAGCAAUUCUUCCACAAUCACAAUACCAACGGGUUAAUAUUCAAGAUAUACUACUGAUGCCGAUUUCAGAGGUUACAGAUAAGUAGUUUUAUGAAUUAGGUAUCAACCAUUAACACCAGUCGUAUCUGUAUAAUGUACUCGAGCAUGCACUUGAGAGUCAAGAGUUUUGGAGGCAAAUUGUUUCUGAGAAAAGGUGGUUAGUUCCCAUAACUAUGCAAAGUGUAGAUAUGACAAAAGGUCCAGAUUAAGGAGAUUGAACGAGCAAUUCUUCCACAAUGAUGUAUAAUUGAAUAACACUUCAUCUGCAUCAUGAUGUAGAUCCCACUGUUAUAUUUGUUGUAUGUGGUUGGGUUACCUUCUGCAAAUGAGAGGCGAAAGGAGGGAAAAUUGUAAUAAACAUUGGAGGACUUUGACAUUGCACUUGCAAACACCGUCUGUAGCAGAAGCAUCUAAAUCCAACAAAAUAUAUAAAAAGUUAGCACAUAACGCAACCGAAAUCCGACAAUUACUAACAAAGGCCUUACGGUGGCUCUUGCUAUCUCAAUUCGUCUAUUCAAUGAUGUCAAUUCCGGCACAAAAUCCCACAACUUGGCAAUUUUCUCCUUUAGUUUCAUAACCAACAAAAAUAUAUGGUUUGUGAUUUCAUCAUGCAACGGGAUGAAAAUCUGCAAAAGCACAAGAAAUUAUACACAUGACAAGCAACGUAAUAUCAAUGUGAUGAAUUAACCCUUAAUUACCUAAACACAAUGCUUUAAUCGCCUAUGGAACCUCUGCAACCGACAAUGAACAAUUGUUGAUGCCACUGAAACAGGGACAACAGAUGGAUUCUCAUUUAACUUGGCUUGUUCCUAUUCAUGAAGACAGUAACAUAGCAUUCAUUAUUAUCAUUGUUUGUAUUUAGGUACAAUAGCAGAGUUAUUAUUCCUAAUGUGAUUUCUUUAUACCCCAAAGAAAGUAGGCAAGAACCAUGAGUCGGAGUUGGUUUGACACAAGUACGCCGCCCAAAUGUUUAUGGCCUGAAUCAUUUUCAGUCAUCUCACAUAGUUAAGAUUACGACCAUAUAAUGUAUGUGCAAUACUAGCUUAGAAGAAAUUGGCACGGAUAAUUCAUUACCUUUGAAGAAAUUGAGACGCUCGGGCAAAGACAUUGGAUAUCCUCAAGGGACACCCCAAAAUCCCCACCGCGGGCAACUUCUUCCCUGUAUUAAUCAAAUGCACUGGUCAAAAACAAUAAUGCUCUUCUGCGGUCACAAUAUCAACCAAAACUCAAAUAAAUUAUUGAAAACAGAAGCACAGAAGCUUCAUAUAGCAUUGAAUGACCAACUGAAAAUCCUUAAUUCAGGUCACAAAACUUAUAAUGUCUUUACUGACCUGGACUCAUGUCCUCCUUUCCUUGGCUUCCCAAAUAAGAACUUUAAGACCUUAGAAUCCUUCCAAAUAAGAACUAAGCAUCAGUCUAAAUACAUAGACGUAGUAGCAUCAAAAAGUCUUCUAACCCAGUAAAACCCAGACUCUCGAAUUGAAAAAAAAUCUUCCAGUUCAACUCCCACAAACCAAUUCAACCCAACAUUCAAAUAAUAGUAAUUAUCAGGGAGAGAAGAAUAACUUAAUCUUACAACUGAAGAGAGAGAGAGAGAGAGAGAGAGAGAGAGAGAGAGAGAGAGAGAGAGAGAGUAGACGAGACNNNNNNNNNNNNNNNNNNNNAAAAUCUGAAAAUUUGAAUGUCAAGUUAACUCUAAAAAUCUAGAUUACACAGAGUGAAACUGAAAGAGUACUCCCCACGAAAACAAGUAUAAUAUUUACCUUUCUUACCUCUCUCUCUUUUUGUGGAGGAAUCUCUGAGUGGGUUUUGCAGAAACAAGGCAGUGCUCCCGCUCAACCUGACCCUUGCAAUUGAAAAUAGGGGAACGAAUGGUGGGUUCGUUCUCUUGAAGCUUGGAAUUUGAGCAAAUGACUGCAAUUCUCGAUCGGGAGUCAGGAAAGAUUCGUACCCUGAUUUGUAGUCGGUGUAGAUUUAACGGUAAUUCGGAUACCGCGUGGGUUUUUGAGGUUUGAAUCGGAGAUUUCGAAUCUCUUCGUCGGAGCCGCCGUCGUGGGAUUAGGCCGGAGAGCAAGAAAGGUUUGGAUUUUCUUUUUAGGUUUGGGUCGACUGCCUACAUCCCACAGUGAUAUAAGGUAAUUUUGUUUUUACUGCUGUUUCUUCAUCUGACUAACUAACCGAUACGCUCCGUCUUACUAAGUCUGUUAACAGACGUUAGACCCACAUUAAAGGUUCAAGUGCCCCAUGGUGCACUGAAUCCGCUCCGCAUGAAAGAUUAGAUUAGUUUUGCUACGAUACUCUCGCGGACGUCGGUUUGCAUACCAAAUAGGUGGGUGUGUUACUAAUUUACUAACCUGAUUCGAAUAACGUAAAUAAAGGUGACUUGCUAUCUCACUACCAAUCCAGAAAAAAAAAUACAUAAAAUUCGCAAUCAACCGACAACCGGUAAAUUCAGGUGGUGUAAUUUCUUUGAAAUUAAUAAUAAUAAUCCAGUAUCGUAAUGGUAAAAGUGUAAAACCAACUCCCAGCUAGGCUGGGUUCCAAAAAGAAAUGGUAAAACCAAAUCAGUAUGAAGUUCAUUUGUGAAGGUCCUAGGGGGGGGGUGGGGGGGGGGGGUGAAUAGGUCUUUAUUACUUUUUCGUCCGAUUCCGUUCACAAGGAUAGCAAACAUUUAGCUAUCCUGAUAACAUGGAGACGUAGUAAUAAAUAAAAGAACAAGUACUGGAAAGUAAAAGAAAUAACACCAGUACGUUUUUUAUUCGCAGAAACCUUGCACCAGGGAGAAAAACUGCGUGCCCCUAACUCUUGAGGGACAAACCUUUCCACUAUGUAAAACUCACUUCUUACAAGAUUAUAGUCUAGGGAUACAACGACGAUUUGCAAUCCUGCCUAGUCUACCCACUAGUCUAGAUCUAUCUCUCCUGUCUCUGAGUGACUCACCUCACUCCUCACAAGAUUAUNNNNNNNNNNNNNNNNNNNNUGGGUUGGAAGAACAACACAACCCUAGACUAACUUGGAGCUCAAGCACGAUGAAAAAUGUUUUGCUAAAAGAGAUUUGAAAUUCAAAUACUGAAAAGCUGAAGCAAAACCAUUUAAAUCUGCACGAAGUCAGACUCAGAGAUUAUGAUAGAUACAACAGGGGUAUCCACCAAAUCUGGAUAGCAAGCAGAGCUGCCAUCCUGAAUGAAUGUGAUGCACAUGCAUGAACUACCUGAUGUACAUGAGAUAAAAACAAAUAGCCAGCUAAUAUAUUAGUUUGUGUAUCACAAACCUAGCUAGAGCCUCUAAGCUCUAGUCAUGUGGUCACGGGUUGAAAACACUACACAACCCUAGACUGACUUGAAGCACCAAGGCAACGACAAAUGUUUUGCUAAAGGGGAUUUGAAUUCAAACAGUGGAAUUCAAACGAAUGAUACACAAAUAGCAAAAGCAUUUAGACAUGCAUACAUAUAGACCCAAUAGAUUAGGACAGAUACACCAAGAGGUAUCAUCCGAUCUAGGAUGACAAGCAAAGCUGCCAUUCUCAGUGAAAAACAUAAGAUGCAUAUGCAUGAACUACCUGAUACACAUGAGAUCUUGACAGGUCUUCAUUCUUCACUUAUGAUAUCCUUACCAUCAGGAUAUGUAGAAUUCUCAGUGAAAAGCAUCAGAUGCAUAUACACCAGUUACCUAGGACACAUGUGAUCUUGUCAAGUCUUCAUUCUUCACUUGUGAUAUCCUUACCAUCAGGAUAUAUAAAAUAGCUUGUGUCUUGUGUUUUGAUCAUAAAAGGGAUAGCCAACAAUCCUUAUACCAACAAUUUGUCUAAUGCCGAUACGAAUAAUGUUGUUCUAUGAAUCUGCAAGGUGAGAAUCUUAUUUCAAGUUUCUUUCAAACCAAACAUGGAAAGAAACUUUAGUUCAGGGUGAACCGAAAAGGUUUCGCCCUAGAAGGCUCAAAAAGUAUGAGCGUUGCUUUGCAUUAUGUAUUCGGUUAGGCCAACAAGCCGACCAAAACGCUUCGUAAUAGUCGUUUUAGCCAAGUCGCCAUCAAGACGAGCAAAGCACUGACUUAAUCUAGAUUUCACCAUCCCAGAGUUCCUCAACAGUUCUAUAGGACCCAAAAGUGUCAUGUACAAAAAAGUCACCUUUGACUAGCCUUUCCUGCAAAUUUGGAAAACAAUGUAGUAUCAGUGACCAUCAUCACCAUCUUGAUCAAAUUACAGAACCUAAUAGGACUCCAGAAGCAACCAUGUCAUAUUAAUGAUGGGCUAUGUUUAAUAGUUAUGCCAUAACUGACNNNNNNNNNNNNNNNNNNNNUAGGCUACUUAUCUAUCAUUUUGACCUCAUCCUUUACAACUGAGACAGUCAGACUGAAGGGUAAUAUGAACAUCGUAUUUGUGGUUUAAAGAUGGCACAAACUAUUUUAAGAAAUGUAGUUUGAACACUAAAAGUAGGCAUAUUGCACAUUUCUACAAAGAAUCCCAACUGAUAAAUCACGUAUAUACUCCAGAACAAAAAUCCAAGAGACAUAACAUGCGAACGAGAUUUGAACAUGCAAUGCAUACCAGGUACAAGUCCAAAUAAUCAAGCUGCAAGUCUCCCAGGGUCUUAUCCAUAUCUUUUGGAAAAUGCAGAUUAAACCCUGAACUAAGCAUGACUUAUCUAUAUUAAAGCCCUGUGAGUGAUCUGAUCAACCAUGUGCAGACCGUCCUGAACCAAAUUCAAAAGCACCUAACAUGGGAAUAAGUUUUGAAUUUUUAAUACAUACCAAGUACAAGUCAAUAUAUUCAAGCUGCAGGUCUCUCAAAGUCCUAUCCAAUGCCUCUAGUACAUCUUCCGGUGCAUGAU
rnacentral:lncRNA from 1 species